rnacentral:rRNA from 1 species
CCGAAAGGCAGGAGUGCCUGCAAGGGAGCGCGGAGACAGGUGGUGCAUGGCUGUCGUCAGCUCGUGUCGUGAGAUGUUGGGUUAAGUCCCGCAGCGAGCGCAACCCUCACCUCUUGUUGCCAUCAGGUCAUGCUGGGCACUCUAGAGGAACUGCCCCGGUCAACGGGGAGGAAGGCGGGGAUGACGUCAAGUCAUCAUGCCCCUUACGUCCUGGGCUACACACGUGCUACAAUGGCCGGUACAAAGGGAUGCCACACCGCGAGGUAGAGCUAAACCCAAAAAGCCGGUCUAAGUUCGGAUUGGAGUCUGCAACUCGACUCCAUGAAGGAGGAAUCGCUAGUAAUCGCGUAUCAGCACGACGCGGUGAAUACGUUCCCGGGCCUUGUACACACCGCCCGUCACACCACGAAAGCCAG